rnacentral:rRNA from 1 species
UACGUAGGGUGCGAGCGUUGUCCGGAAUUAUUGGGCGUAAAGGGCUCGUAGGCGGUUUGUCGCGUCGGGAGUGAAAACUCGGGGCUCAACUCCGAGCUUGCAGUCGAUACGGGCAGGCUAGAGUUCGGCAGGGGAGACUGGAAUUCCUGGUGUAGCGGUGAAAUGCGCAGAUAUCAGGAGGAACACCGGUGGCGAAGGCGGGUCUCUGGGCAACAACUGACGCUGAGGAGCGAAAGCGUGGGGAGCGAACAGG